rnacentral:rRNA from 1 species
UACGAAGGGGGCUAGCGUUGCUCGGAAUCACUGGGCGUAAAGGGUGCGUAGGCGGGUCUUUAAGUCAGGGGUGAAAUCCUGGAGCUCAACUCCAGAACUGCCUUUGAUACUGGAGGUAUCUGAGUUCGGGAGAGGUGAGUGGAACUGCGAGUGUAGAGGUGAAAUUCGUAGAUAUUCGCAAGAACACCAGUGGCGAAGGCGGCUCACUGGCCCGGUACUGACGCUGAGGUGCGAAAGCGUGGGGAGCAAACAGGG